AUUGAACGCUGGCGGCAGGCUUAACACAUGCAAGUCGAGCGGUAGCACAGGGGAGCUUGCUCCCUGGGUGACGAGCGGCGGACGGGUGAGUAAUGUCUGUGAAACUGCCUGAUGGAGGGGGAUAACUACUGGAAACGGUAGCUAAUACCGCAUAACGUCGCAAGACCAAAGAGGGGGACCUUCGGGCCUCUUGCCAUCAGAUGUGCCCAGAUGGGAUUAGCUAGUAGGUGGGGUAAUGGCUCACCUAGGCGACGAUCCCUAGCUGGUCUGAGAGGAUGACCAGCCACACUGGAACUGAGACACGGUCCAGACUCCUACGGGAGGCAGCAGUGGGGAAUAUUGCACAAUGGGCGCAAGCCUGAUGCAGCCAUGCCGCGUGUGUGAAGAAGGCCUUCGGGUUGUAAAGCACUUUCAGCGAGGAGGAAGGUGGUGAGCUUAAUACGUUCAUCAAUUGACGUUACUCGCAGAAGAAGCACCGGCUAACUCCGUG
rnacentral:rRNA from 1 species